rnacentral:rRNA from 1 species
AUUGAACGCUGGCGGCAUGCUUUACACAUGCAAGUCGAACGGUAACAGGCCGCAAGGUGCUGACGAGUGGCGAACGGGUGAGUAAUGCAUCGGAACGUGCCCAGUCGUGGGGGAUAACUACUCGAAAGAGUAGCUAAUACCGCAUACGAUCUAUGGAUGAAAGCGGGGGACCGUAAGGCCUCGCGCGAUUGGAGCGGCCGAUGUCAGAUUAGGUAGUUGGUGGGGUAAAGGCUCACCAAGCCAACGAUCUGUAGCUGGUCUGAGAGGACGACCAGCCACACUGGGACUGAGACACGGCCCAGACUCCUACGGGAGGCAGCAGUGGGGAAUUUUGGACAAUGGGCGCAAGCCUGAUCCAGCAAUGCCGCGUGCAGGAAGAAGGCCUUCGGGUUGUAAACUGCUUUUGUACGGAACGAAACGGCUCUGGUUAAUACCCGGGGCUAAUGACGGUACCGUAAGUAUAAGCACCGGCUAACUACGUG